rnacentral:rRNA from 1 species
CCUACGGGAGGCAGCAGUGAGGAAUAUUGGUCAAUGGUCGGGAGACUGAACCAGCCAAGCCGCGUGAGGGAUGAAGGUACAGAGUAUCGUAAACCUCUUUUGUCAGGGAACAAAGGCGGGGACGUGUCCCCGGAUGAGUGUACCUGAAGAAAAAGCAUCGGCUAACUCCGUGCCAGCAGCCGCGGUAAUACGGAGGAGCCGAGCGUUAUCCGGAUUUAUUGGGUUAAAGGGGUGCGCAGGCGGUUUGUUAAGUCCGCGGUCAAAGCCCGGGGCUCAACCCCGGCCCGCCGUUGAAACUGGCAGUCUUGAGUUGGAGAGAAGUAUGCGGAAUGCGCGGUGUAGCGGUGAAAUGCAUAGAUAUCGCGCAGAACUCCGAUUGCGAAGGCAGCAUGCCGGCUCCACACUGACGCUGAGGCACGAAAGCGUGGGUAUCGAACAGGAUUAGAUACCCGUGUAGUC